CUCUAGAUUCAAAAUUCAAACCGUAUACAUAUAUAACCUACAUUAUUCUGACUCCACGUUCAAAAUUCAAACCAUAAAUCAAUCCACAUCUCUCUCAAAUCCAGAGCUCCCAAUUCAAACCAUAAAGUGGCCGGCUGAAAUCGUGAGUUCUUCGGUGACCGAGCGGAGUUUAUAAAUGCGACCAGAUUAAUUUCAUAUUCUAAUCAUCUAAAGAUAGAAGAGCUCCUUCCUUUUGAAGAUAGAAGAGCUCCUUACUUAUUUUAUCACCAUCAUCUCAUCUCAUCUCAUUUUCUUCAUUACAUUUCAGAUUCUAAAACUCAACAACUCGAUUUUCUGCAUCAGAUUCUGAUCAAAUUGUGAAGUCUUCAUGGCGAUGAAAUCAACAGGACAACGCCAUCGUUUCGAUCAUCUGCUUCCAGAUUGAGUUGGUGUUUAUUGUUGAUAUCCGGACUGAUAAGAAGAAGAUUAAAGCUGCUGUUAAGAAGAUGUAUGAUAUUCAAACUAAGAAGGUUAAUACUUUGAUCAGGGUUUCAUUAGCAUUUCAGAAGCAGUACAGAGGAGACGAGAUGAAGCCGAACAAAUAUACAUCUUCCGCCAUCACCACCGAUCCACCGCCUCCAUCGUCUUCUACAAUCGUUUCAUCCGGUGAGCGGUUUCACUACCUCCUCUGUCGUAUACCAAAUUUUAGUAUCAAUUUACAUUUUAUAGCCUUGUGUACUACAUGAGUGAAAUGCAUGGAAGGAACGAGGUAUUGAUGCUAAAGGAAUUCGGGCUAAAGCCCAUAUGUUGAGCCUCGUACUGAGAUAUGUCAUCACAUGGGAGAAACAUUUUUGGUUCUAUUUUAUUAUUUCAGGGAUUGCUUGAAAUCAUACCAUCUAAAUGUGUAUCAUUUGAUGAGCGGGAAAUGUAAAAGCCAGUUUGCAUGUGGUUGGCCAAUACAGGCUUAAAAACCAACUUGAUUACUAAAAGUAUUUACAUAAUAAAACAUGUUGCAAGUUUAUAGAUUUUCUAUGGCGAUUCUGAAAAUCUUGUCUUCUUUUUCUUGUUUCCAAAUUGGCAUAAAUGUGGAAUUUAUAAAAGAGCUCCACGAUUUACCUUACCAAUUAUCAAAUCAUCUAAUAUUAUAUUCAUGUAUGUUUAUUUUGUCAGUUAUAUUGAUAGUGUUGGAGUUGGUGGAGAAAUUCCUUCUACAUAUGCUAAUACAACAAAUUUGGUCUGUGUAAGAACAUUUAUUUUGAUGAUGUUUCAAAGUAAUUAAGCUUGUGGUUAAUAUGCCUAGGUUGAAUUGGUGAGUGGGAUUUUCAUUUAGCGGCUAAUUGAAAUGAAAUCAAGGAAACUAUAUAAGUCUUUAAUUCAUGUUGACUAAAAAUUUGUUUUCUUUCUUAUUUGCUCUCAACUUGGUCUGACUUGUUCAUCUUGAACUUGACUCGGUGCGAGUCAAUUCAUGUGACUCACAAGGUCCCGGUUGGGGAUUCUUCCUUAAACUUGUUCAGUUGGUUGAGAAGGAUGCGGAAAGGGUGAUGCUGUUGUUUUGGGCAACCAUUAAUGCUGGAGGUCGAGUUGAUAGCGCGCUGAAGGAUCUGGCGAUUGUUAUGAAACAACAUAAUGGGGCCGAAGAAGCAAUUGAAGCGAUUAAUUCUUUGCUUAAAGAAAAAAAACAUGUUUUUUCCGGUAAAACCCAAGACCCUAAACCCUAUAUCAUUAUGAGAUUAAGGUGUGGAAUAUUGGAUAAUCAGAUUCGACUGUUGUGGCAUAAACUGUUCAUGAUACAACAAGGGACGGCUUUCAAUGGGAAGCGAACUAAAACCGCAAGAUCUUAAGGGAAGAAGCUUCAAGUUUCGGCUGAGCAGGAGGUGACUUGGCUGAUGGUAAGAACUAACAACAACCAUGGUGGAUUUUGUAAUAGAUAUGGGAUUUUGAUUUUAAAAUUUGUUUUAAGAUAUAUUUUCUUCAGACAUGAGGUCUGAAGUGGCUACCCAAGUUUAUUGCACUUUUCAAGGCAUUAAAAUGGAAAUAGUUCUUUCAAUGGUACGACUGGUCUAAAUUUGCUCCUGGAAAACACAAUCAUUGUUGGUUUACUGAUCUAACAUAAUAUUGACUUUCUGGCCUUUUAUGUUAAUGUUAAAGGACUGGGUCAAACCUGUUCUCAAUUAUACAAGUUCUGUGUGGGCCUUGGCUGUGAGUUCUACAAGCAUUGCUGUGCUUGUAUGGGUUGGGGAGGGAGUACACAAUGAGCUUUUAAAAGUAUGGUCAUACCUGUGGAUUGGACUAAGAUGGCAUUGGGUUCAAGUGUUAGAUGUCCAGCAUGAUGGAGGUGUAAGUAUGGGCUCAAGAAUGUGAUGCAUCAUUGCAUUGGGCAAGAGAUGGAUCACCUUGUAUAUGGCAUGGGUCGAUUGAUUCUUAAAACUCUAAUAGGCAUCGUGGACUAUGAGCUUGCUAUUGGCCUUUACUCUUUCUAGGAUGUUUGUUUUCAAAAGUUGUAAAAAGUAUUAGUUGGUUUAUAAACUCAUUAUAAUUGUAAAUAUAUUACUACUUUAAAUACCUUAGGUUGAUGUUGGGUUUGGAGUUG